UCGUAAGUAAAGUUGGGUGGAUGGCCUUAGUGCCGGAUAUCCUUUUCAAGUAUGAAAACGAAAAGAGUAUGUUCAUGGUCUAAUGACCGGUUCAUCAUUCCUAAGCUAUUAUAUGUACUUUGGAAUUGUUGUGAUAACAUGAGAAGUACUAGUCAAAUGUUUCAUAGUGCUUCAUAGAUAAUUGUUCGGAUAUGAAAAUAAAGCAUGUAAUUGUUAAUGUGAUAUUCAUAUUAUUCUUUGUUAAGACUUUCUGAGCUAGUUAUGCUCAUUCUUGCUUGAACCAUAUGUUUGCAGCUAAAGCCGAAUGAACUAAGAGUUCUAUGAGAGAUAAAGGCAAGGCAAAGAUGGACAAUUAGUCGUCCUGUAAUAGACUAGUGUAUUGUAUGUAAUAUACUCAUGAAGAACAACGAAUGUAUUUGGUUAAUGAACCUGGGAAAGGAUUUAUUACAAAUGUAAUAUAAAGAUAGUAAUUACACUCAUUUUGUUGUUAUCUCAAUGGAAUGAUUAUAUGGAUUGUAGUAUCGUGGAGCACCAUCUGUCGGGUUGGAAGAUACCCGAAUUUGGGGGUGUCACAUUAAUGAUGUCGAGACAUAUUAUAUGUAGCAUCCCCAAAAUCGGGACAAUUUCUCUCCCCGAUCUUGUGCGUUAAUAUUAU
rnacentral:lncRNA from 1 species